rnacentral:rRNA from 1 species
GUCUAUGACCAUACCACCCUAAACACACCUGAUCUCCUCUGAUCUCAGAGGCUAAGCAGGGUCGUGCUGGUUAGUACAUGGAUGGGAGAAAUUGCAUCACAUAUGCUCAGUCCUGAAACAAUAUCCAGUGUCUGACC